AGACCGUUCUCUUUCGAGGCCGGUCAUCGGAAUGGGUACAAUUUAAACCCUUUAACGAGUAUCUAUGAGAGGGCAAGUCUGGUGCCAGCAGCCGCGGUAAUUCCAGCUCUCAAAGUGCAUAGAAUUAUUGCUGCGGUUAAAAAGCUCGUAGUUGGAUCUGUGCCAUAGGACGGGGUCCACCUUCGGGUGCGUACUCCGCUCCUAGGCUUUUUGCUGGUUUUCCCGUCGUAGCCUUCACUGGUUGCGGCGGGUGGCUGGCGAGUUUACUUUGAGAAAAUCAGAGUGCUCAAUACAGGCGUCUAGCUUGAAUGAUUGUGCAUGGAAUAAUAGAAAAGGAUUUCGGUCCUCUUUUAUUGGUUUUGUGGACUGAGAUAAUGGUUAACAGGGACAAACGGGGGCAUUCGUAUCGCUGCGUGAGAGGUGAAAUUCUUGGGCCGUAGCGAGACGCCCUACUGCGAAAGCAUUUGCCAAGAAUGUCUUCAUUAAUCAAGAGCGAAAGUCAGAGGUUCGAAGGCGAUCAGAUACCGCCCUAGUUCUGACCGUAAACGAUGCCAACUAGCGAUCCGCCGGUGGAUUUUUAGCCCUGGUGGGUAGCUUCCCGGAAACGAAAGUCUUCCGGUUCCGGGGGAAGUAUGGUUGCAAAGCUGAAACUUAAAGGAAUUGACGGAAGGGCACCACCAGGAGUGGAGCCUGCGGCUUAAUUUGACUCAACACGGGGAAACUCACCCGGCCCGGACACCGUAAGGAUUGACAGAUUGAUAGCUCUUUCAUGAUUCGGUGGUUGUGGUGCAUGGCCGUUCUUAGUUCGUGGAUCGAUUUGUCUGGUUUAUUCCGAUAACGAGCGAGACUCUAGCCUACUAAAUAGUAACGAGAUUGCCAUUGUCUUAGUUGCUUCUUAGAGGGAUUUUCGGUGUUUAGCCGCACGAGAUUGAGCAAUAACAGGUCUGUGAUGCCCUUAGAUGUCCGGGGCUGCACGCGCGCUACACUGGCGAAAUCAGCGUGCUGUAUCCAUUCUCGAAAGAGAUUGGUAAACCCAUGAAAAUUUGCCGUGCUUGGGAUCGGAAAUUGCAAUUAUUUUCCGUGAACGAGGAAUUCCAAGUAAGUGCGAGUCAUCAACUCGCUCUGAUUACGUCCCUGCCCUUUGUACACACCGCCCGUCGCUGCCCGGGACUGAGCCAUUUCGAGAAGAUCAGGGACCGGUGGGCUGUGGCCUCUUCGGAGGUUCGGUCCGUUGGAAACUGAUUUGAUCGCAGUGGCUUGAACCGGGCAAAAGUCGU
rnacentral:rRNA from 1 species